rnacentral:lncRNA from 1 species
CCUGUAUUUGCCACCAUAGCUUCUAGUUUGUUGAAUAUGUACAUGGAGGCUGCUUUCUUUCCACCAUCUUCCCUUUUCUCCCCAACAGAACAACACCAGAACUUUAGGGAGAAAACCACAUGGUUCAUGUGAUCAGCCAGGAGACGGGACCCAGAAGGUUUACAAAGUGAUGGAGCUCUCUCUCUCGCGGCAAACUCACUGUCAGGUGGAGCUGAUUGAACAAAAGGGUGUAAUGGGUGACACACUGCAGCUCCCAAUGCCACUCGGAUAAAUGAAGCAUUGUUAAGAGAGAUGGCAAAGACAGAGGAAUGAGGUGGGUUUUUUGUUU